GAGUUUGAUCCUGGCUCAGAACGAACGCUGGCGGCAUGCCUAACACAUGCAAGUCGAACGAGAUCUUCGGAUCUAGUGGCGCACGGGUGCGUAACGCGUGGGAAUCUGCCUUGGGGUACGGAAUAACAGUUAGAAAUGACUGCUAAUACCGUAUGAUGUCUUCGGACCAAAGAUUUAUCGCCCUGAGAUGAGCCCGCGUAGGAUUAGCUAGUUGGUGGGGUAAAGGCCUACCAAGGCGACGAUCCUUAGCUGGUCUGAGAGGAUGAUCAGCCACACUGGGACUGAGACACGGCCCAGACUCCUACGGGAGGCAGCAGUGGGGAAUAUUGGACAAUGGGCGAAAGCCUGAUCCAGCAAUGCCGCGUGAGUGAUGAAGGCCUUAGGGUUGUAAAGCUCUUUUACCCGGGAAGAUAAUGACUGUACCGGGAGAAUAAGCCCCGGCUAACUCCGUGCCAGCAGCCGCGGUAAUACGGAGGGGGCUAGCGUUGUUCGGAAUUACUGGGCGUAAAGCGCACGUAGGCGGCUUUGUAAGUUAGAGGUGAAAGCCCGGGGCUCAACCCCGGAAUUGCCUUUAAGACUGCAGAGCUAGCAGGUGAGA
rnacentral:rRNA from 1 species